rnacentral:tRNA from 1 species
UUUAUUUUAAAUUUUCAUUAAUAAAUUUAGAAUUUAUUAAAAUAUUAAUUAUAUAAAUAAAA